UGUUGCUUCUGAGGUUGAUUUAAAAUCUUUGAUUUAAUUCAUGAGAAUGAGAUUUUAAUAUCAUGACUGAUAAUGGAUUACUAUAUAUUGCAACGCCUGGACAUACACAUGGUUUGGAUAUACUGAAGACAAAAGGAAUAAUAUAUGGGAAUGGAUAAGGCUGAUUUCCCCCUAUCCACAGCCACACUUACUCCUAAAGUAACAUCAUGUCCAUCCUUACUAUGCCCUUUUACUGUAGAAUUGCCCGAAUCCUAAUGAC